ACCGGAGGCUCGAGUGGUGGCCACUAUUACUGGGCUUAAAGCGUUCGUAGGUGGCUUGUUAAGUCUCUGGGGAAAUCUUCCGGCUCAACCGGAAGGCGUCUCAGGGAUACUGGCAGGCUAGGGACCGGAGGAGGUGAGAGGUACUCCAGGUGUAGGAGUGAAAUCCGGUGAGCCUGGGAGGACCACCUAAGGCGAAGGCGUCUCACCAGGACGGCUCCGACAGUGAGGAGCGAAAGCUGGGGAAUCAAACCG
rnacentral:rRNA from 1 species